rnacentral:rRNA from 1 species
UACGUAUGGUGCAAGCGUUAUCCGGAUUUACUGGGUGUAAAGGGAGCGCAGGCGGCGCGUUAAGCCUGGUGUGAAAGCCCGCGGCCCAACCGCGGGACUGCAUUGGGAACUGGCGCGCUGGAGUGCCGGAGGGGUAGGCGGAAUUCCUAGUGUAGCGGUGAAAUGCGUAGAUAUUAGGGGGAACACCAGUGGCGAAGGCGGCCUACUGGACGGUGACUGACGCUGAGGCUCGAAAGCGUGGGGAGCAAACAGG